rnacentral:rRNA from 1 species
ACGAACGCUGGCGGCGUGCUUAACACAUGCAAGUCGAACGGAAAGGCCCUGCUUGCAGGGUACUCGAGUGGCGAACGGGUGAGUAACACGGGGGUGAUCUGCCCUGCACUUCGGGAUAAGCCUGGGAAACUGGGUCUAAUACCGGAUAGGAGCCAUUUUUAGUGUGAUGGUUGGAAAGUUUUUUCGGUGUAGGAUGAGCUCGCGGCCUAUCAGCUUGUUGGUGGGGUAAUGGCCUACCAAGGCGGCGACGGGUAGCCGGCCUGAGAGGGUGGACGGCCACAUUGGGACUGAGAUACGGCCCAGACGCCUACGGGAGGCAGCAGUGGGGAAUAUUGCACAAUGGGCGCAAGCCUGAUGCAGCGACUCCGCGUGGGGGAUGACGGCCUUCGGGUUGUAAACUCCUUUCGCUAGGGACGAAGCUUUUUGUGACGGUACCUAGAUAAGAAGCACCGGCUAACUACGUG